rnacentral:rRNA from 1 species
GAUAAACGCUGGCGGCGCACAUAAGACAUGCAAGUUGAACGGACUUAAUCGAAAUAUUUAUAUUUUGAAGCGGUUAGUGGCGGACUGGUGAGUAACGCGUAAGGAACCUGCCUAUUAGAGGGGAAUAACAGUGAGAAAUCAUUGCUAAUACCGCAUAUGCCAUAGAUAUCACAUGAUAACAGUGGGAAAGGAGCAAUCCGCUAAUAGAUGGCCUUGCGUCUGAUUAGAUAGUUGGUGGGGUAACGGCCUACCAAGUCGACGAUCAGUAGCCGGACUGAGAGGUUGAACGGCCACAUUGGGACUGAGAUACGGCCCAGACUCCUACGGGAGGCAGCAGUCGGGAAUAUUGCGCAAGGGAGGAAACUCUGACGCAGUGACGCCGCGUAUAGGAAGAAGGUUUUCGGAUUGUAAACUAUUGUCGUUAGGGAAGAGAAAGGACAGUACCUAAGGAGGAAGCUCCGGCUAACUACGUG